UCCCCUGUAGCUCAACGGUAGAGCACCUCGCUGUUAACGAGGGGGUUACUGGUUCGAAUCCAGUCGGGGGAGCCA
rnacentral:tRNA from 4 species